rnacentral:misc_RNA from 1 species
UCCAGCUUAUCGCUGGCGGUCUCCUGCGAGUUCCGCCUUUCGGCAUGGCAACACAGGACAAGGGUUGCGCUCGUUGCGGGACUUAACCCAACAUCUCACGACACGAGCUGACGACAGCCAUGCAGCACCUGUGUUACGGCUCCCUUUCGGGCACGCCCCCAUCUCUGAGGGCUUCCGGACAUGUCAAGACCAGGUAAGGUUCUUCGCGUUGCAUCGAAUUGAGCCACAUACUCCACCGCUUGUGCAGGCCCCCGUCAAUUUCUUUGAGUUUUAAUCUUGCGACCGUACUUCCCAGGCGGCAUAUUUAUCGCGUUAGCUUCGCCACAAAAGGGGUCGAUUCCUUUUACAGCAAAUAUGCACCGUUUACAGCUAGGACUAC